rnacentral:rRNA from 1 species
AAACGCGAUAAGUUCACCGCCUGGGGAGUACGGUCGCAAGGCUAAAACCCAAAGGAAUUGACGGGGGCCCGCACAAGCAGCGGAGCGUGUGGUUUAAUUCGAUGCAACGCGAAGAACCUUACCUGGGCUUGACAUGUACGUAGUAGUGAAGGGAAACCGGAACGAGCCUUCGGGCAGCGUAGACAGGUGCUGCAUGGCUGUCGUCAACUCGUGUCGUGAGAUGUUGGGUUAAGUCCCGCAACGAGCGCAACCCGUGUUGCUAGUUACAAGUGUCUAGCGAGACUGCCGGUAACAAGCCGGAGGAAGGUGCGGAUGAUGUCAAGUCAGCAUGGCCUAUAUGUCCAGGGCUACACACACGCUACAAUGGCUGGUACAAAGAGAAGCGAAAGGGAGACCUGAAGCGAAUCUCAUCAAAGCCAGUCAUAGUUCGGAUUGCAGGCUGCAACUCGCCUGCAUGAAGUCGGAGUUGCUAGUAACCGCAGGUCAGCAAUACUGCGGUGAAUACGUUCCCGGGCCUUGUACACAC